rnacentral:snRNA from 1 species
GUGAGAGGGUGAUCUGGCUGCAACAGCUGUCACCCUAUUGAGGGCCAGGAUUGAUUUGGCUAAUCUGGCUGGCUAGGUGGGUGCCCCCUUCUUCCCCCACAGUUCCCUGCACCUCCCUCCAGAAGUUGUGUAUUUGGUAGAAGAUAACCAUCCCAGGUAGAAGAAAUACACAAGGUCAAGGGAAUACAAUAGCUAUGCUCCAAACAAACUUGAGAAACUACAUGUAUGCUACCUUUGGUUUCAUGAUGACAAUAAGG